rnacentral:rRNA from 1 species
UACGAAGGGUCCAAGCGUUAUCCGGAUUUAUUGGGUUUAAAGGGUGCGUAGGCGGCUUAUUAAGUCAGUGGUGAAAGCCUGCAGCUUAACUGCAGAACUGCCAUUGAUACUGAUGAGCUUGAAUAUACUUGAGGUGGGCGGAAUGUGUCAUGUAGCGGUGAAAUGCUUAGAUAUGACACAGAACACCGAUUGCGAAGGCAGCUCGCUAAAGUAUGAUUGACGCUGAGGCACGAAAGCGUGGGGAGCAAACAGG